UUCAGUUGUCAUGGCAACAAAGGAGUACUAAGUCCUAGCAGCUGUCCCCACCCUUCAAUCUGGUAAGAAAAGCUUUCAAAACCACCACAGGUGUUUUCUGGAUGUGGAGGCAACUGGAUGUGAAGGCAAUCUGGGAUGCUAGGGAUCUUGCUAUUGCAAAUCAUUUAACAUAGGUAUGUAUGUUCAUGUAGGAACCAGUUUCGUUUAGGACCAGUGUGCCGAAGGUAGCAAGACUGAUGUACAAUUAUGGUGAUUUGUUCCCAGUUCAGGAAGGCAGAAAACAGUGAAUGCCGUAAAACCAUUGUUUUGUCUGCCCUGUUUCCUGAUAAGGCAUGAAUUUGGCUCCCCUGGUUACAUUUGCUUCCCAUCUCUCUUACACUCACAACCUCCUUUCAGCCAUGGCAUCUCUUUAAGUGUUGGUGUUGACCUUUAAAGCCCUAAACGGCCUUGGUCCAGUAUACCUGAACGAGCAGCUCCACCCCCAUCGUUCUGCCCGGACACUGAGGUCCAGCGCCGAGGGCCUUCUGGCAGUUCCCUCGCUGCGAGAAGCCAAGUUACAGGGAACCAGGCAGAGGGCCUUCUCGGUAGUGGCCCCGCCCUGUGGAACGCCCUCCAAACAGAUGUCAAGGAAAUAAACAAGUAUCUGACGUUUAGAAGACAUCUGAAGGCAGCCCUCUUUGGGGAAGUUUUUAAUGACUGAUGUUUUAAUGUAUUUUUAAUCUUUGUUGGAAGCUGCCCAGAGUGGCUGGGGAAACCCAGCCAGAUGGGCAGGGUAUAAAUAAAUUGAAUUUGAUCCAUUUUGAACUUAUGUUGUGGGAAGGAAGGAAAAUAUCAUUACUUCAACUUAGGUUAUACUAACUCCUCACCAAGAAACAGUUACUCCUGGUAAAAUAGUAAAUACCACUUCUGUGGUAAUUUAUUUCCCUUUUGUAAUUACUCUCAGUGUAAUAUUUAUUUAUUGCAUUUUUUAUUUAUUAUGUUAACCUUUUACAAAAACACUCGGCACCAACACCCUCUGUGUUCCCGGCCUGUUACACGAGAAUUGGCAGACCAUCCCUUUUCCUUAACCCCUCACGGGUAGGUGAGCCAUGUCAGUUGCGGUUCUCUCCUUUUCUCAGUUUUAUAACCAGAAAUUCAGUUUUCCACAUUUCUGCUGAAAUUUGUGUGUUGAAAAAAAACACACCUCACAUUUUAGUGUGAAUUUAUUUUAAUAAACACAUUUUUUGUAUGUAGUUUUGACAAAUAUACCAUACUUUUCCGUGUAUAAGACUAGGUUUUUUUACUUUAAAAUUAUGCAAAAAACUAUGGGUCAUCUUAUACACGGGGCAAUCUCCCCCCCCCAUUUUCUUAAAUUAGAGUGCCUAAAAAUAGGGGGCGUCUUAUAUAUGGGGGCAACUUAUACACAGAAAAAUACUCUUUUUUUGCAAAAAUAGCUUACAAAAAUACAUUUAAACAAUUAAAAACGCAACCACCACCAAUGUUACAGAUAUCAACAAAUGGUAUUGGGCAGUAGGAUCAGUGCUAUUCAUCUGGGAAAGCUUGAGCAAACAAUAUAGUUUUUAGUAAAAGUCAGACGCCCCAGUCCUAGGUGGGAGAGUGUUCCAGAGGGAAUGUUACCACCAGGUGGCCUUGCACAGCUCAGGCACCAUCAGCAAGGCCUCCUCUGACAAUCUCAGUGAUCUGCCGAAUGCAUAUAGAGGAAGGGUGGGGAAUCUCACCCAUGCAGGUGGCCUUAGGGCACUUAGCAAUGACCUUAGGGCACUUAGCCAGAAGCAGGAAGUGAGUGGAGUGAGAGAAGCGAAAAGGAAGUACUUCAGUGGAUACCAUUUUCACAUGUAUACUGUGAGCAGGGCCAGAUUUAGGUUUCAUGAGGCCCUAAGCUACUGAAGGUAAUGGGGCCCUUUUAUAUGUCCAGCUGUUCUUUGUCAGCAACAAAUUGCCGCUGUAUUUUGUGUUUAAUGUAUGCUAGAAUCAUAAUAAUAAUUUAUUUAUACCCCGCCCAUCUGGCUGGGUUUCCCCAGCCUCUCUGGGCGGCUUCCAACAGAAUAUUAAAAUACAAUAGUCUAUUAAACAUUAAAAGCUUCCCUAAACAGGGCUGCCCUCAGAUGUCUUCUAAAAGUCUGGUAGUUGUUUUUCUCUUUGACAUCUGGUGGGAGGGUGUUCCACAGGGCGGGUGCCACUACCAAGAAGGCUCUCUAACGUGGCUUCUCGCAGCGAGGGAACACCAGAAGGCCCUCGGGACUGGACCUCAGUGUCCAGGCAGAAGGAUGGGUGUGGAGACACUCCUUCAGGUAUACUGGACUGAGGUCGUUUAGGGCUUUAAAGGUCAGCAGCAACACUUUGAAUUGUGCUCAGAAACGUACUAUAUGGUAAUUUAUGGACCUAAUAGGUAUCUAAAGCCAUUUGCUGUAUCUAGAUUUUAUUUUAUUUGUUUUUCAUCUUCUAUUUUGGAAAUGUGCAUCCAGUUUUUUUCCUUUAAUUUUUUUGGGCCCCACCAAGAGAGUGGGGCCCUAAGCUAUAGCUUGUUUAGCUUAUAUGUAAAUCCGGCCCUGAUGGUAGGCAGGAACAUGAAAACCAGUGGUCCUUACACAAGCACAGCCCUUCAUUCAUGCAAGCGAGAAAGUUCAUUGCAGUCGAAGGAUACAAUUUCAGCCUGGCAAAAGUCACUAAGGGAGGGGUGGUGGAGGGUCAGUGAGGGGUCCAGGAGGCAGGGCAGCCUGGGGGCAGGAGGGCCUGAGGUUCCCCAUCCCAGAUAUAGUAGAAGGCAAUCGUUUAGGUAACCUGGUUCUAAUUUUCCUAAUUUCCCCCCCAGAAACUUUCCACCAGCUGUGUGUGCCAGUGCCAAGGUGUGGAGGUUGCCCUCAGCCGCUGUGGUGGCCGCAAUCCUUGUACAAAAGAAUAGCCGACAACCAAUUCCACACCUUGAUAACCAAGGCUGCCUCCUCUCCUGUUGCAUCAUGGAUUCCGCCUCUUUCCGGUCUGAACAAUCAUUACGUUCUGAUCAGCUCCCAUCCAGAGGCGCAGAUCCCAGGGAGCUGGCUCAGGUCCACCCAAAAGACACAGCCAGGAGACUUGGGAAGGAGCCAGACAAAAAUAGCCAAGAACCACAGGGCCUGAUGAGGCUCCGCCAUCCCCUGAGAGCACUGGCCAAGUUAAGAGCAGAUGUCCACUGUCGGUGCCUGAGGUCUUCUGCCCCCCCAGUCGAAACGUACUAUACUCAACUCAACUGGCCACAAGGAGUGCUACAGAGGUGGGCAAAGGAGAAGGAGGACAGGGAGAGAAAUCUUUGCCUGGAUGACUGCCAAGACGCAGCCGUCAGGAGAAGCAACACAUUGGACGAAGCCCCUGAGGAACAUCCGUCGGGGUAUGGGGAGUUGGAGGCUAAGGAAAGCGACUCCUGAAGUACCUAGCACUGAAAUGAAACCCUGACGCAGGUGCUUGGACAAAAAACAAUCGUGAUAAUAUUGCCUGGUGUGGCAAGUACAUAGUAAAGAAUUUUCUGGUUUCUGUA
rnacentral:lncRNA from 1 species